rnacentral:rRNA from 1 species
UUAAGCAAGAAAGGGCGCAGGGUGGAUGCCUUGGCACUGAGAGCCGAAGAAAGACGUGAUAAGCUGCGAUAAGCAGCGGUGAGGAGCAAAUAUCCGAUGACCCGCUGAUUUCUGAAUGGGGAAACCCGGCUGAGCAACCCUCAGUCACCAUAUGCUGAAUACAUAGGUAUAUGGAGGGAACCCGCUGAACUGAAACAUCUAAGUAGGCGGAGGAAGAGAAAGAAACAUCGAUUCUGUGAGUAGCGGCGAGCGAAAACGGAAGAGCCUAAACCGGAGCGCGUGCGUUCCGGGGUUCGGACUGCGACAUGUGAGCAAUAGGAUAACAGAACAGUCUGGGAAGUCAGACCAGAGAGGGUGAAAGUCCCGUAUGUGAAAUCCGAGUUGCAGCUAGCAGGAUCCAGAGUACCACGAGACACGAGAAACCUUGUGGGAAGGCAGGGAGACCACUCCCUAAGGCUAAAUACUACUCAGUGACCGAUAGCGCAUAGUACUGUGAAGGAAAGGUGAAAAGGACCCCGGGAGGGGAGUGAAAGAGAACCUGAAACCCUGUGUCUACAAGCUGUGGAAGAUCUUUACAUGAUCAACCGCGUACUUUUUGUAGAACGGUCCGGCGAGUUGCCAUGUCUGGCAAGGUUAAGUACUUAAGGUACGGAGCCGAAGUGAAAGCAAGUGUUAACAGCACGUAAAGUCAGACCGGGCAGACCCGAAACCGGGUGAUCUACCCAUGUCCAGGUUGAAGUUGCCGUAAAAGGCAAUGGAGGACCGAACGCACAUCCGUUGAAAAGGGUGGCGAUGAGGUGUGGGUAGGGGAGAAAUUCCAAUCGAACCCGGAGAUAGCUGGUUCUCCUCGAAAUAGCUUUAGGGCUAGCCUCAUAUUAGUCUUGCGGAGGUAGAGCACUGAAUAUCCUAGGGGGCGUCAAAGCUUACCGAAGAUUAUCAAACUCCGAAUGCCGUAAAGAUGAUGUAUGGGAGUCAGACUGCACGAGAUAAGUUGGGUAGUCAAAAGGGAAAGAGCCCAGACCUACAGCUAAGGUCCCAAAGUACGUGUUAAGUGGAAAAGGAUGUGGGAUUUCGAAGACAACUAGGAUGUUGGCUCAGAAGCAGCCAUACAUUCAAAGAGUGCGUAAUAGCUCACUAGUCGAGAGGUCCUGCGCCGAAAAUGUCCGGGGCUGAAACACGACACCGAAGCUUAGGAAUCGAAAGAUUGGUAGAGGAGCAUUGAAUACGGAACGAAGCAGUACCGGAAGGAGCUGUGGACUGUAUUGAAGAGAGAAUGCCGGAAUGAGUAGCGAGAUUUAAGUGAGAAUCUUAAAGGCCGAAUAUCUAAGGUUUCCAGGGUAAAGCUGAUCUUCCCUGGGUAAGUCGGGGCCUAAGGCGAGGACGAAAGUCGUAGUCGAUGGAUAACAGGUUGAAAUUCCUGUACCGCAUAUAUUCAGAAAUGUGGGGACACAGAUGGAGAGUACAACCCGGGAAUGGAUAGACCGGGGCAAGCGAGGUAGGAGAAUGGCAGGCAAAUCCACCAUUCAAUCUGAAGACGUGACGCGUACCGAACAAGAGUAGGGAAGUGUAUGAGCCAGCUGUCGAGAAAAGCCGCUAUUGUGAUAUAUGCGCCCGUACCGUAAACCGACACAGGUGGAUGAGGAGAGAAUCCUAAGGCCGGCGGGAGAAGUGUUGUUAAGGAACUCGGCAAAAUGACCCCGUAACUUCGGGAGAAGGGGUGCCUCGGAAGAGGCCGCAGAGAAAUGGCCCAAGCAACUGUUUAGCAAAAACAUAGGUCUAUGCAAAACCGAAAGGUGAGGUAUAUGGGCUGACGCCUGCCCGGUGCUGGAAGGUUAAGAGGAGAGCUUAGCGCAAGCGAAGGUUUGAAUUUAAGCCCCAGUAAACGGCGGCCGUAACUAUAACGGUCCUAAGGUAGCGAAAUUCCUUGUCGGGUAAGUU